rnacentral:rRNA from 1 species
GACGAACGCUGGCGGCGUGCUUAACACAUGCAAGUCGAACGCUGAAGCUCAGCUUUUGUUGGGUGGAUGAGUGGCGAACGGGUGAGUAACACGUGAGUAACCUGCCCCCUUCUUUGGGAUAACGCCCGGAAACGGGUGCUAAUACUGGAUAUUCACUGGUCUUCGCAUGGGGGUUGGUGGAAAGGGUUUUUCUGGUGGGGGAUGGGCUCGCGGCCUAUCAGCUUGUUGGUGGGGUGAUGGCCUACCAAGGCUUUGACGGGUAGCCGGCCUGAGAGGGUGACCGGUCACAGUGGGACUGAGAUACGGCCAGACUACUACGGGAGGCAGCAGUGGGGAAUAAUGCACAAUGGGCGCAAGCCUGAUGCAGCGACGCCGCGUGAGGGAUGGAGGCCUUCGGGUUGUGAACCUCUUUCGCUCAUGGUCAAGCCGCAACAAUGGUUGUGGUGAGGGUAGUGGGUAAAGAAGCGCCGGCUAACUACGUG